rnacentral:rRNA from 1 species
CUACGGGCUGCAGCAGUGAGGAAUAUUGGACAAUGGAUGGCAAUCUGAUCCAGCCAUGCCGCGUGAAGGAAGAAUGUCCUAUGGAUUGUAAACUUCUUUUGUAUGGGAGCAAUAAGUUGUACGCGUACAAUGAUGAGAGUACCAUACGAAUAAGCAUCGGCUAACUCCGUGCCAGCAGCCGCGGUAAUACGGAGGAUGCGAGCGUUAUCCGGAUUUAUUGGGUUUAAAGGGUGCGUAGGCGGUUACUGUAAUUCAGCGGUGAAAUUUAGGGGCUUAACCCCUACCGUGCCGUUGAUACUGCAGAGCUGGAAUAGGGAUGCUGUUGGCGGAAUGUGUAGUGUAGCGGUGAAAUGCAUAGAUAUUACACAGAACACCGAUUGCGAAGGCAGCUGACAAAUCCCUUAUUGACGCUGAUGCACGAAAGUGUGGGGAUCGAACAGGAUUAGAUACCCGUGUAGUC